rnacentral:rRNA from 1 species
AGAUCGAACGCUGGCGGCAGGCCUAACACAUGCAAGUCGAGCGGCAGCACGGGUACUUGUACCUGGUGGCGAGCGGCGGACGGGUGAGUAAUGCCUAGGAAUCUGCCUGAUAGUGGGGGAUAACGUUCGGAAACGGACGCUAAUACCGCAUACGUCCUACGGGAGAAAGCAGGGGACCUUCGGGCCUUGCGCUAUCGAGAUGAGCCUAGGUCGGAUUAGCUAGUUGGUGAGUAAUGGCUCACCAAGGCGACGAUCCGUAAUGGUCUGAGAGGAUGAUCAGUCACACUGGAACUGAAGACACGGUCCAGACUCCUACGGGAGCAGCGAGGUGGGAAUAGUUGGACAAGUCGGGACGAAAGCCGUGACUCCGAGCCAGUGCCGCGUGUGGUAGAAGUAAGUCGUUCGGAGUUAGUAAG